UACGGAGGGUGCAAGCGUUAUCCGGAUUUAUUGGGUUUAAAGGGUCCGUAGGCGGAUCUGUAAGUCAGUGGUGAAAUCUCACAGCUUAACUGUGAAACUGCCAUUGAUACUGCGGGUCUUGAGUGUUGUUGAAGUAGCUGGAAUAAGUAGUGUAGCGGUGAAAUGCAUAGAUAUUACUUAGAACACCAAUUGCGAAGGCAGGUUACUAAGCAACAACUGAUGCUGAUGGACGAAAGCGUGGGGAGCGAACAGG
rnacentral:rRNA from 1 species